CAUUUACUGUUGAUGCAGAUGAACCCCACAUAAAGGAGAAGCCAACGAGACGGAGACCAGUACGGAAGAAGAUACGUCCCGUAAAAUUAAGAGACUUUACUGAAUUGUAAUUUUGUGAUUGUAAUUCUGUACAUUUGAUUAAGUUGUUGUUAAUUGUUAUUG